UUUCCGUUGGUGAACCAGCGGAGGGAUCAUUACCGAGUUUACAACCCCCAAACCCCUCCGACCAUCCCUUUUUUUGCCUCGGCGGUGCCUGCUUCGGCCCACCCCCACCCGCCCCACACCCCUGAUUUUACCCCCUCUCUUCCGCGCCACUCAUUACAUCAUUCAAACCCUUCCACAACGGAUCUGUUGGUUCUGGCAUCGCUUAAGCACACCUUACCACGCACGAGCCCCCGUCUUCGCCCUCGCUACAUAGUGCUACAUCGUAUGACGGCCGCCGCC
rnacentral:misc_RNA from 1 species